rnacentral:rRNA from 1 species
UACGAAGGGAGCUAGCGUUGUUCGGAAUCACUGGGCGUAAAGCGCACGUAGGCGGAUGUGCCAGUCAGGGGUGAAAUCCCGGAGCUCAACUUCGGAACUGCCCUUGAUACAGCACGUCUUGAGUCCGGAAGAGGUGGGUGGAAUUCCUAGUGUAGAGGUGAAAUUCGUAGAUAUUAGGAAGAACACCGGUGGCGAAGGCGGCCCACUGGUCCGGUACUGACGCUGAGGUGCGAAAGCGUGGGGAGCAAACAGG